UACGAAGGGGGCUAGCGUUGUUCGGAUUUACUGGGCGUAAAGCGCACGUAGGGCGGAUCGAUCAGUCAGGGUGAAAUCCCAGAGCUCAACUCUGGAACUGCCUUUGAUACUGUCGAUCUGGAGUAUGGAAGAGGUGAGUGGAAUUCCGAGUGUAGAGGUGAAAUUCGUAGAUAUUCGGAGGAACACCGGUGGCGAAGGCGGCAUCCUGGACCGAGAUUGACGCUGAGGC
rnacentral:rRNA from 1 species